UUAGCGGCGGACGGGUGAGUAACACGUGGGUAACCUGCCUGUAAGACUGGGAUAACUCCGGGAAACCGGAGCUAAUACCGGAUAGUUCCUUGAACCGCAUGGUUCAAGGAUGAAAGACGGUUUCGGCUGUCACUUACAGAUGGACCCGCGGCGCAUUAGCUAGUUGGUGAGGUAACGGCUCACCAAGGCGACGAUGCGUAGCCGACCUGAGAGGGUGAUCGGCCACACUGGGACUGAGACACGGCCCAGACUCCUACGGGAGGCAGCAGUAGGGAAUCUUCCGCAAUGGACGAAAGUCUGACGGAGCAACGCCGCGUGAGUGAUGAAGGUUUUCGGAUCGUAAAGCUCUGUUGUUAGGGAAGAACAAGUGCAAGAGUAACUGCUUGCACCUUGACGGUACCUAACCAGAAAGCCACGGCUAACUACGUGCCAGCAGCCGCGGUAAUACGUAGGUGGCAAGCGUUGUCCGGAAUUAUUGGGCGUAAAGGGCUCGCAGGCGGUUUCUUAAGUCUGAUGUGAAAGCCCCCGGCUCAACCGGGGAGGGUCAUUGGAAACUGGGAAACUUGAGUGCAGAAGAGGAGAGUGGAAGUCCACGUGUACCGGUG
rnacentral:rRNA from 1 species